rnacentral:lncRNA from 1 species
AUGCAACCAUCAUUCAGCUUUGAGAAACAUCCAAUGUCCAAUCAGUUUACCGUGUUCUUCACCUAUCAUCGUACAUUACUAUUUAAACAGCCACGUUACUGCUCUCCUUAUCAAAUACAUCGUACAUUACUAUUUAAACAGCCACGUUACUGCUCUCCUUAUCAAAUACAUCAUACAUUACUAUUUAAACAGCCACGUUAUCGCUCUCCUUAUCAAAUACAUCAUACAUUACUAUUUAAACAGCCACGUUAUCGCUCUCCUCAUCAAAUACAUCGUACAUUACUAUUUAAACAGCCACGUUACUGCUCUCCUUAUCAAAUACAUCAUACAUUACUAUUUAAACAGCCACGUUAUCGCUCUCCUUAUCAAAUACAUCAUACAUUACUAUUUAAACAGCCACGUCACCGCUCUCCUUAUCAAAUACAUCAUACAUUACUAUUUAAACAGCCACGUUAUCGCUCUCCUUAUCAAAUACAUCAUACAUUACUAUUUAAACAGCCAUGUUACCGCUCUCCUUAUCAAAUACAUCAUACAUUACUAUUUAAACAGCCACGUUAUCGCUCUCCUUAUCAAAUACAUCAUACAUUACUAUUUAAACAGCCACGUUAUCGCUCUCCUUAUCAAAUACAUCAUACAUUACUAUUUAAACAGCCAUGUUACUGCUCUCCUUAUCAAAUACAUCAUACAUUACUAUUUAAACAGCCACGUUAUCGCUCUCCUUAUCAAAUACAUCAUACAUUACUAUUUAAACAGCCACGUUAUCGCUCUCCUCAUCAAAUACAUCAUACAUUACUAUUUAAACAGCCAUGUUACUGCUCUCCUUAUCAAAUACAUCAUACAUUACUAUUUAAACAGCCAUGUUACUGCUCUCCUUAUCAAAUACAUUACUAUUUAAACAGCCACGUUACUGCUCUCCUCAUCAAAUACAUCAUACAUUACUAUUUAAACAGCCAUGUUACUGCUCUCCUUAUCAAAUACAUCAUACAUUACUAUUUAAACAGCCAUGUUACUGCUCUCCUUAUCAAAUACAUCAUACAUUACUAUUUAAACAGCCACGUUACUGCUCUCCUUAUCAAAUACAUCAUACAUUACUAUUUAAACAGCCACGUUACUGCUCUCCUUAUCAAAUACAUCAUACAUUACUAUUUAAACAGCCACGUUACUGCUCUCCUUAUCAAAUACAUCAUACAUUACUAUUUAAACAGCCACGUUACUGCAUAUCGGUUGUUAUGA